UACGAAGGGGGCUAGCGUUGUUCGGAAUUACUGGGCGUAAAGCGCACGUAGGCGGUUUUGUAAGUCAGGGGUGAAAUCCCGGGGCUCAACCUCGGAACUGCCUUUGAUACUGCAAGUCUUGAGUCCGGAAGAGGUGAGUGGAAUUCCUGGUGUAGAGGUGAAAUUCGUAGAUAUUAGGAAGAACACCGGUGGCGAAGGCGGCGCACUGGUCCGAUACUGACGCUGAGGUGCGAAAGCGUGGGGAGCAAACAGG
rnacentral:rRNA from 1 species